rnacentral:rRNA from 1 species
UACGGGGGGGGCAAGCGUUGUUCGGAAUUACUGGGCGUAAAGGGCUCGUAGGCGGCCAACUAAGUCAGACGUGAAAUCCCUCGGCUUAACUGGGGAACUGCGUCUGAUACUGGCGAGCUUGAGUGCAGGAGAGGAACGCGGAAUUCCAGGUGUAGCGGUGAAAUGCGUAGAUAUCUGGAGGAACACCGGUGGCGAAGGCGGCGUUCUGGACUGCAACUGACACUGAGAAACGAAAGCCAGGGUAGCAAACGGG